rnacentral:pre_miRNA from 1 species
UUAAGGCAAUAAAACUGAUGAUGAUGAUGAUGAUGAUGAUGAUGAUGAUGAUGAUUAGCAUCGUCAUCAUCGUCAUCGUCUUCAUCAUGGUGAUAA